CCUACGGGUGGCAGCAGUCGAGAAUCAUUCACAAUGGGGGAAACCCUGAUGGUGCGACGCCGCGUGGGGGAAUGAAGGUCUUCGGAUUGUAAACCCCUGUCAUGUGGGAGCAAAUGAAAAAGAUAGUACCACAAGAGGAAGAGACGGCUAACUCUGUGCCAGCAGCCGCGGUAAUACAGAGGUCUCAAGCUUUGUUCGGAACCACUGGGCGUAAAGCGUGCGUAGGCUGUUUCGUAAGUCGUGUGUGAAAGGCGCGGGCUCAACCCGCGGACGGCACAUGAUACUGCGAGACUAGAGUAAGGGAGGGGGAACCGGAAUUCGCGGUGUAGCAGUGAAAUGCGUAGAUAUCGAGAGGAACACUCGUGGCGAAGGCGGGUUCCUGGACAUUAACUGACGCUGAGGCACGAAGGCCAGGGGAGCGAAAGGGAUUAGAUACCCUUGUAGUC
rnacentral:rRNA from 1 species